rnacentral:lncRNA from 1 species
GCCAGGUGGACAAGGAACUGCACUAAGAUAAGCUUUAUUGUCUGUAUGUUGUGAUUGUCUGAUUUACGGUUUUUAAUUUAUUUUUUAAUCUCGGACAAAAUCAUCUGAAAACCGACCAAAUUUGGAAAACUCUCUGAAAUGUAUAAUUAUCCUGUCAGCAUCAAAUAGUAAAUUCAUAUAUAUUAAUAUAUAUAACAUAGUCAGCAAUGUAUAUCUUCCAAUUUGAUUUGUAGGGUUUUAUAUAUUAUUGUAAGGAUAUAUGGGAGAGCACCAUGGUGAAACCAAAAAAGGUGGGUUGAAUUUUCAUGUAAUUAUUUAAAACCAAACCUAUGCCUUUUCUUGUAAGCUAAUUUCUUGAUUGUUCUUGUUUCAGAAGUUGCUGGGAGUAAGGAUUCCCUACUGGAAUUUUCUGAAGAUGAAGAAAUGCUCAUGGCAAGAAUGUUCAAUCUGCUUGGACCAAGGUUAGUUUGCAAUCAAAUCACUGUGUGUGAUUUUUAUCCUUAAAAGCUGUUUCAUCCGUUGGUGUUCGCGUUCGAGAGAGAGAGGGACGGGAGAGAGAGUUGGGUUUUUGAUGUGUUUGUUUGGAGCAGGUGGACUUUAAUUGCUGGAAGAAUACCAGGAAGAACAGCAGAAGAGAUUGAGAAGUACUGGAAUUCAAAGGCUUUGGCUAAAGAUAACAAACAUUUGGAUCUCAAGUUUCAACAGUCCACAAAUGAUAUGUAGAUACAUAUGUCGUGUUCUUAUGAACCUAUUAUAAUUAUGUCUUGUAUAAUAUGUAAGGUAGUCGUCGUUAUUAAGUCUUAAUUGGAUCAAAUUACUCGUUAGAAUUUAAUAAGAUCUGAUAUCAUAUUAAAACUCGGGAUUUCAUCUUAAAAGAUCAAUCUGAUUAAGAGAAGCAGUCCAAGUUCUUAUUAGUUAGUCUAUAUUUUCAUUUGUAUUCAAUGUGAAAUUUUAUCCCUUAAGAGUCGAAAAUGGAAUUACUGUCAAUUGUAAGUUUCUACGUUAAUAUUUUCAUUUAUUUUUCAGCAAUUGAAUCUGGUGUGGAAAAAUCCCUGCUUUUAUUUGAA